rnacentral:lncRNA from 1 species
GGGCAGUCUGCAUAUCUACACAGAAUCAGGUCAAGACGAAGUUUGAAUACAAUUGAUACAAAAUAAUGAGAUUAAGAAUGAAAUAGCCGAGUCUGACUUAGACUACCUACAUAUCCAAAUGGAAUCAGGACAAAAAUGAAGUUCGAUUACAAAAGACGACUAAAUCCGAUGAAGAUUGCAUAUGUAUUCAUUCCUAAAGAAAUCAAGUCGGCAUAGUUCCCGAUUAAUCACACAUAAUGAUAUUUGGAUUUUCUAUUACAAAAGAAGGAGGGCGAGAAACCGAACCUUAGAUGGGUUGUCUACACAUUCCUCCGUGGGAAAACAAGUUGAAUGUAGUUCUGUUACAGCAAAACCUAACACUAUUUGCCUUCAAACAUAGUAUCUCUUGAUUGCUUCUGAGUUGAUGUGCUUCGUGUUGACUUUUCCAUCCAUUUCUGCCAAGAUCGGAUCUCCACUUGAAAACACUCGGUGAACCACGUAAAGACCUUUCAAUUCGGUGCAAAGUUUCCUUUGGCUUCUUCCUGGUGAGGAAGGAUUUUCUUUAGAGCUAAUUGCCUCGUCAUGAACUGGCGAGGCUUUACCCUUUCUUUGAAUGCACUAGCCAUCCUGUUCUGAUAUAGUUGACUAUGGCAUACUGCACCAUUCUUUUCUCAGCAAUGAUCAUGACACUCGUAUUCACUGUACAUCCUCCAACUUGGCGUCUUGGAUGACCCUUAAAGAUGGUAUCCCGACCUCCGCGGGUAUCACAGCUUCGGUUCUGUAGACUAACAUGUUUCGCAUUUUCCCAGUAGAUGUUCUCAUGGUUGUCCGAUAACCCAAUAAGGAAAAAGGAUAGUUUCUCGUUCCAUUGCCUGUGAUUGUCUACUAUCUUCCGGGCAAUCCUCUUGAUAUUCUUGUUGGCUGCCUCGACUGUUCCAUUUAUUUGUGAUAUGUCAUGGCCCUCAUGUAAGUAAUUCAAGCCUUCAAUGACGUAAGUCAACUAAACACCUCAUACUGACACGGCAUAUUGUUUGUUUCUCAAUCAAAUUUGAGUGCGUGAAUAACUUAAAUUGCUAACUAGUGUUUACUACAACCCCCACACUACCGGUCCAUCAAACAACUAACCUAAAAUGUCACUUCGGCCACUGUACCACCCAUCAAACAACUCACCAUCCACCUACGAAAAGGCAAUCAGCCAUCUCCCGAGAGACCGUGUGACUUAUAAAAAAUUAGCUAAAUUGUUCAUGCAGAGAAGAAGUUGGGCGCAAGGGAUGUUGUGGUCAUUAGCGGUGUUGGCGAGCACUAUGGCGAAAGUAAUGGUGGUUAGGAGAAGAAUAAAUAAGUAGUAAGUAAUGGAGAAAGGAAUAGUGGGGAAGGAAGAGGGAUGAAAUGUCUUGGGUUGUUGUAGAUUUUGGUUUUUGAGCAAAACCCGCUGUUGGGGCCGAUAAAGGAAGAUGACAUGUUUGUUAGGCAACGAUUUUGAUCAUUUUAGGUGGCGGUGGUAUACCGAUCAAAUUUUAAUGCUCAAUGAAGGAAAGGGAUCCGAAGGAGAUGAUUCUAGAAAAAAAGAAAGAAAGAAAGAAAGCAAAGGAGGAGAGGGAGGAGGGUGUGAAAAUGAAGGUGGUGAUUAAGGAGAAAGAGAAGAACUUGUUAUGAAGGAAAUGUGAGAGGAGCCGGCGG